rnacentral:rRNA from 1 species
UAUGUAGGGUGCAAGCGUUGUCCGGAUUUAUUGGGCGUAAAGAGCGUGUAGGCGGCCAGGUAGGUCUGCUGUGAAAACUCGAGGCUUAACCUCGAGCUGUCGGCGGAAACCAUCUGGCUAGAGUCCGGAAGAGGAGAAUGGAAUUCCCGGUGUAGCGGUGAAAUGCGCAGAUAUCGGGAAGAACACCCGUGGCGAAGGCGGUUCUCUGGGACGGUACUGACGCUGAGACGCGAAAGCGUGGGGAGCGAACAGG